rnacentral:rRNA from 1 species
GAUGAACGCUGGCGGCGUGCCUAAUACAUGCAAGUCGAGCGAACGGACGAGAAGCUUGCUUCUCUGAUGUUAGCGGCGGACGGGUGAGUAACACGUGGAUAACCUACCUAUAAGACUGGGAUAACUUCGGGAAACCGGAGCUAAUACCGGAUAAUAUUAUGAACCGCAUGGUUCAAAAGUGAAAGACGGUCUUGCUGUCACUUAUAGAUGGAUCCGCGCUGCAUUAGCUAGUUGGUAAGGUAACGGCUUACCAAGGCAACGAUGCAUAGCCGACCUGAGAGGGUGAUCGGCCACACUGGAACUGAGACACGGUCCAGACUCCUACGGGAGGCAGCAGUAGGGAAUCUUCCGCAAUGGGCGAAAGCCUGACGGAGCAACGCCGCGUGAGUGAUGAAGGUCUUCGGAUCGUAAAACUCUGUUAUUAGGGAAGAACAUAUGUGAAAGUAACUGUGCACAUCUUGACGGUACCUAAUCAGAAAGCCACGGCUAACUACGUG